AGUGAACGCUGGCGGUAGGCCUAACACAUGCAAGUCGAACGGCAGCACAGGAGAGCUUGCUCUCUGGGUGGCGAGUGGCGGACGGGUGAGGAAUACAUCGGAAUCUACUCUGUCGUGGGGGAUAACGUAGGGAAACUUACGCUAAUACCGCAUACGACCUACGGGUGAAAGCAGGGGACCUUCGGGCCUUGCGCGAUUGAAUGAGCCGAUGUCGGAUUAGCUAGUUGGCGGGGUAAAGGCCCACCAAGGCGACGAGCCGUAGCUGGUCUGAGAGGAGAAGCAGCCACACUGGAACUGAGACACGGUCCAGACUCCUACGGGAGGCAGCAGGGGGGAAUAUUGGACAAUGCGCGCAAGCCUGAUCCAGCCAUACCGCGUGGGUGAAGAAGGCCUUCGGGUUGUAAAGCCCUUUUGUUGGGAAAGAAAUCCAGCUGGCUAAUACCCGGUUGGGAUGACGGUACCCAAAGAAUAUGCACCGGCUAACUUCGUGCCAGCCGCCGCGGUAA
rnacentral:rRNA from 1 species